rnacentral:rRNA from 1 species
AUUGAACGCUGUCGGCAGGCCUAACACAUGCAAGUCGAGCGCGCGGCGGACGGGUGAGUAAUGUAUGGGGACUGCCCGAUAGAGGGGGAUAACUACUGGAAACGGUGGCUAAUACCGCAUACUAUCGGAUAAACCAUAUGGGAUUCGCUCUUAGUUAAGGUAAUUGCUUACCUAGGCGACGAUCCCUCGCGGGUCUGAGAGGAUGAUCAGCCACACUGGGACUGAGACACGGCCCAGACUCCUACGGAGUCAGCAGUGGGGAAUAUUGCACAAGGGGGGCAAGCCUGAUGCAGCCAUGCCGCGUGUAUGAAGAAGGCCCUAGGGUUGUAAAGUACUUUCAGUCGGGAGGCGUUACCGACAGAAGAAGCACCGGCUAACUCCGUGCCAGCAGCCGCGGUAAUUC